UGAAAAAAGAAUGGCAAGACAAAGAACUUUGUUGGUGUUUUGAAUGCAGUAGAAAUCAUGUGCUGGAAAGCAAGUAAACAUUGAAACUGGAAGCUUUUACUGCCAAAGGCAUGGAUCAAAAGCUAGCUGAUCAGGGGAAAUUUAAAGAACUUAAAGUUCUUGUAGGUAGCUAACAGUUAAGAACUAAAGGAUAGCAUCCACAGUAGUAAAAUA